rnacentral:piRNA from 1 species
UGGUGGUUGAUUUUAGUUGCCAACCUGAGU